UUUUAUUUAUUUAUUAUAUAUCAGGUUUUACUAAGAGUUUUAGUUUUACUUAUCUAUUAUAUUAGGUUUUUAUUUCCUUCAUAAACUCUUAAGUUAGGAAUUCUAUUUUAUGUCAAUUAGGACUCUUUCCUUUGUCAUUAACAGUCUAUAAAAGGCUGUCAAUAUGAAAUAAAGAGGAAAGCAAUUAUUCUAUCAAAAGAAACAUUAUUUUGAGAGGGGGUUCAGUCAAUGACGAAUCUGCCUUUUGAGUAACCAUAGGUCGAAGCAAGAAUUCUUUCUCGUCUAGACCUGUGACUAGAUCCUACGCCACGGCGCAUAACAACUUGGUAUCAGAGUUAGCUAUCAUGGGUGACGAAAAAACUUUGACAGCCAAGCUGGAGGCAUUUAUGGAACAAAUGGCUACAAGGCAACAAGCAUUAGAGGAGCAGAUGGCGAUUUUAUCUCUUUCGGUCCAAAAGACAACGAAAGAGAAUUUAGAAAAAAAAUAAUGAAGAACAAGGCAGCAGUGGAGGCAAGAAAAGAAAUUCAGAUUCACAACACGGUGGGGGCAUGGUGCCAAGAUACUCCAAGAUGGAAUUUCCCACUUAUGAUGGUGUUGGUGAUCCUUUAGGAUGGUUAAAAAGAUGCGAAAAUUUUUUUGGUAAUCAGCGGACCAACGAAGAAGACAAAGUCGGCUUAGCUUCAUUCCAUCUCUUAGGAGAAGUACAAUUGUGGUUUGAUCAAAUCGAGGAAGAGGAGGCAAAUCUAGAUUGGGAGCGCUUUAGAGAGUGUUGUCAUGUCAGGUUUGGGCCACCUAUGAGUAAUAACCCCUUGGGGGAAUUUGCAAACUUGAGACAAACUGGACGGUAGAAGAAUAUCAACGUUAAUUUCAAUCACUACUGGCUAGGACUACUGAUCUUAAACCUCGACAACAAGUAAAACUUUUUACUGCCGGAUUAGUAGAGGAACUUAGAAUUGAUAUCGAGAUGCAACAACCGGGAAACCUUGGAGUUGCAAUGAAUAUGGCUCGAGCUUUGGAACGGAAACAAAAAGUCCCUUCCAAGAUGUUAUCUCAAACCAAUCUAAACUGGUCAGCUUCCCAAAACAUUGGCAGCAAUUCCAUUAUUCCAACAACUAAGAGCUUUGCCAAGGGAGGAGGACAAACAAUAGAACCAACAGGGAACAACGGCAAAAUAGGUUCUUCUGCACCAUUUAUUAAGAGAUUGACACGGAUAGAAAUGGCGGAAAGAAGGGCUAAAGGACUGUGUUAUAAUUGUGACGAGUCUUAUUCCAUGGGACACAAAUGUAAAAAGUUAUUUUGGAUAGAAGUACCAGAUGUUGAAGGCAAGCAAGAUGAUGAUGAGAUGGAUGAUUUUGGAUAAGUUCUGAAGUUUAUUUUGAAUUUGAGCUUGAGGACAAGCUCAAUUCCGAGAAGGGGAGUAAUGAUAUGGACACUUUAAUUGCAAUAGGAGUUUUUAGUUUUAUUCAUUUAUUAUAUAUCAGGUUUUACUAAGAGUUUUAGUUUUACUUAUCUAUUAUAUUAGGUUUUUAUUUCCUUCAUAAACUCUAAGUUAGGAAUUCUAUUUUAUGUCAAUUAGGACUCUUUCCUUUGUCAUUAACAGUCUAUAAAAGGCUGUCAAUAUGAAAUAAAGAGGAAAGCAAUUAUUCUAUCAAAAGAAACGUUAUUUUGAGAGGGAGUUCAGUCAAGGACGAAUCUGCCUUUUGAGUAACCAUAAGUCGAAGCAAGAAUUCUUUCUCGUCUAGACCUGUGACUAGAUCCUACGCCAAGGCGCAUAACAAAUUGUUUGUUCAGUGCUGGACGAAUAUAUUAACAUAAUUGCUCACAACAAUUUAGCUGCAUAUUUGGAAUUUUUUUUUCUGAUGUUGGUAUGGGCAUUUAUUUCUUUAACUUUCGAGCUUUUUACCCCCAACAAUUUAGCUGCAUAUUUGGAAUUUUUUUUCUGAUGUUGGUAUGGGCAUUUAUUUCUUUAACUUUCGAGCUUUUUACCCCCAAAAUAACAUUGGCCUCCUCACUCUGAGAGUAGAGUUUCUAGUCAAAGAUUUCUCUCUAAUUAAUUUGAGGAACUAGACUAACCAGGUUGAAGUGAUUCCAUCUUACCUUGAGCUGGUUUAAGUUAAAGAAAAUAGAUUAUUGGUUUUAUUGCUACCCAUUCUUUGGAAAUUGUUACAUUUUUAAAAUCCUUGAUUUUUAAUUUAAGGGAUUUACAUCUACCUUACUUUGAGAAUCUUAUUUGGAUAAAUUUUCCUUGGAUAGAUUAAGUCAUUUAAAGAAAUAGUAGGGUUAACAAACAUUGGUUGCCAAAUACAAGGUUUUAAAAUUAUAAUAGAAGAAUAAUAAGUAGCUCUGAAUGUUCUGCAGGUUUCGAACUUUCUUUUCAGUUUUGAUGUAUCUUUUGGACUACCAUUUUGAUUCAGCUACUGCAGGUGUUUUCUAUUAAUGCCAAUCUCUCAUUUUCUCCUGUUCGCCUUGACAAUACUGUAAAACAAUAAGGAAAAGCAAUUGUAUAAGAAUCUUGUUGUCUGUUUUCUGAAAAUGCCAGGCGGUUCCUUUCAUAAAACCUUUGCUGCUAUCUGACAUGAUUCUUUAUAUAUAUUUCAG
rnacentral:lncRNA from 1 species